ensembl:lncRNA
GGGGAGAGGGAUCAAACUGACGUGCGAAGCAGGGUAGCCAGGCCGGGCUCUAGAGUAGCCCCUUCCUCCUCGCCUCGUCAGCCCUGAGGCUACCCUCGUGGGGAAAGUGGGGGCUCAACGGUCUCGUCUUUUACGAAGCAGAUGGACUCCUGGACUCUAGGGCCUCGAACUGUUUGGGAGACUGAUGGGCAGGAGCCUUAUGCAGCCGGAGGGCCGGCGGUCAGUCAGUGGGCUUGGCCCGCGCUGGCGUCUGGCCCAGCUGUCGAAGCUCGGCUGGUCCAAGCUUGCUGCUGGCCCGGAGCUAACUGGGUCCCCUGAUGGCUGGGAUGAAGAGUGCAAUGCAUGUUUCAAAGAGGGCAUGCUUCCUUCACCUGGGUCCCAGGAUGGUGGAACAAAGCUGAAGAUGACUGUGAUUGACAAACAUGAAGAGAAAUAAACCUUACUGUAAGUAAUUUCAACUGGGGGGGUUAUUACCUUAGAAUGACUUAGGUUGAUCAAUGUAUUGCCCAAACUGAAUGAAGACAAACCAUGAGACUAGUAUUAAUUACGAGUAUUUGAGAACUGUAAAAGAUAGGCAGUUGACCUCUAGAGCAGUUGAAACUGAAUACCACUGAAAGGACAAUCAGAAUAUUCUCAUAUUCAGAAUAGGCAUUCUCUUUCAGAGACGAUGAAAACCAGAGUUCAAGUAAGAGAUGUUUGAUUGGUAUUUCAACAUGCCAUACAUUUUGGGACACUCUUAACUGUAGGAAAUCAUUGGUGGUUAAAUUAUGAGCUCCAUAUAAAUUAUGCUAUGUUGGUUUUAUGUUACUAAAUCUAAUAUUGGGUUAACAUUUGAAAUUUGUCAUAUUUUCUAAGCUCUGAAAAAGAAAAAUGAACCUGGAUUUUUGUCUCUAUGCUCAUCAAAUGGUAACAUCAUAUUGCUAAUUUGGGAAAUAAUUACUAAACUCUACUAAAAUCAUUGUUCAUGGAGCUAAAUCCAAAAUUCAGACAUUUGGGGAAAAAAAGAGUCCACAGCAAUGUAUUUUGAUGUUCUUGGGUAAAGAGGAAUCAGUAUUCAUCCUCAGUAUAGAUUGGAUUCCUUCAAACUAUCUUUACUUUUCAAGCAUCUAACAUUCACAGUUAGCAUGUGAGUCCCUCUAUCUAAUAAAAAGUCACAAGAGGCAGCUCUACACAAGAAAGAUUGAUUUGUGAUAUGCUGCUUCUCAUAAUGACACCACCAUGUGGUAUGUUCUGAGGUGGAGCUUUAUUCAUAUGCACCCCAGAUAGUAAAACAAACAGUGUAAUGUAUAAAAAGAAAAUCUCUUUAGAAACAACCUAAAUGUUUUUCAAUAGGAGAAUGGAUCAAAAUAACAUGAUAUUUCCACAUAAUGGGGUAAAAUAUAUUAUGUAAAAUUAAUGAUCCUAAAAGUAUCACAUAUUAAAGUGAAUGUUCAAAACCAAGUUACAGAUGUAUACAUAUACACACACACACACACACACACACAUAUAUAUAAUGAUACCAUGAUUAUAAAAUUGUAAAACAUGCAAAAUGAACAUUAUUUAUGAGUUUCAUAUAUGGUUUAAAACAUUUCAAAUGUGUAUAGGAAUGAUUAACAUCAAAUUUAGUGCAGUGGUUAUUAUCUUUGGUUAUAUGUAAUAGCGAAUGGGAUUGAAGAAAUGUACACAGAGCUUCAACUGUAUCUAUAAUGACUGAUUUUUUAAAAAAAUAACUUUAAAAUCUGAAGUGAAUAUGGUACCUGGUUACCUUGAUACACAGGUGUUUGCUAUAUUCUCUCUCUUUUUCUCUGUGUUUGAAAUAUUUCAUGGGGUCCUAUUGUACAGUACAGGGAACUGUGUCCAAUCUCUUGGGUUAGAAGAUGAUGGAAGAUAGUAUGAAAAAGAAAAAAAA